UGGACACUGGAACUUCAUGGAGCUUCCUGGUGGAAGAAUGCUUCGUUAUGCCAGGAGGAAGGGAGCCUGGCUCCUCAGGGUGGGACCUCAGGAGCUCUGCCACAGGACCCUCCCACACCUCACCUCAGUUCCACAUUCUUCAGCCUUUCUCCAUCCAUAGAGAAACUUUCUCUGCUCAGCGCAUCAGAACACGUUAUGGAAUGAAGUGUUGCUGUUUUCCAGAACUACAAUAUAGUCAAGAGGACAAGCAAGAAGGUGCCAUCUUCAAAUCAGGAAACGGACCCUCACUGGACACUGAGUCUGCUUGUGCUUUGAUCUUGGAUUUCAU